rnacentral:rRNA from 1 species
GUCCUGGCAGUAAACGGUGCACGUUUUGGUGUGGGGGGAGUUCGACCCCCUCCCGUGCCGGAGCUAACGCGUUAAACGUGCCGCCUGGGAAGUACGGUCGCAAGAUUAAAACUACAAAGAAAAUUGACGGGGACCCGCACAAGCGGUGGAGUAUGUGGCUUAAUUCGAUGCAACGCGAAGAACCUUACCUGGGUUUGACAUGCACUGUGUCCCCGAUGAAAGUCGGGUAGCAUAGCAAUAUGCGCUUUGCACAGGUGCUGCAUGGCUGUCGU